GGCCCCGUAGCUCAGCGGAUAGAGCAGAGGUUUCCUAAACCUUGUGCGCAGGUUCGACUCCUGUCGGGGCCU
rnacentral:tRNA from 1 species